GACAGAGGGUGCAAACGUUUGUUCGGAAUUACUGGGCGUAAAGCGUGUGUAGGCGGCCUUGCAAGUCGGAUGUGAAAGCCCCGGGCUCAACCCGGGAAGUGCACCCGAUACUGCUAGGCUUGAGUACCGGAGAGGUUUGGUGGAAUUCUCGGUGUAGAGGUGAAAUUCGUAGAUAUCGAGAGGAACACCGGUGGCGAAGGCGGCCAACUGGACGAGUACUGACGUGAG
rnacentral:rRNA from 1 species